rnacentral:rRNA from 1 species
UUAAUUGAAGAGUUUGAUCAUGGCUCAGAUUGAACGCUGGCGGCAGGCCUAACACAUGCAAGUCGAGCGGCAGCGACAUAAACAAUCCUUCGGGUGCGCUUAUGGGCGGCGAGCGGCGGACGGGUGAGUAAUGCCUGGGAAACUGCCCUAGUGUGGGGGAUAACCAUUGGAAACGAUGGCUAAUACCGCAUAAUCUCUUCGGAGCAAAGAGGGGGACCUUCGGGCC